rnacentral:rRNA from 1 species
UUAGUGGCGGACGGGUGAGUAACGCGUGGAAAACCUGCCGUAUACUGGGGGAUAACACUUAGAAAUAGGUGCUAAUACCGCAUAAGCGCACAGGGCCGCAUGAAGCGGUGUGAAAAACUCUGGUGGUAUACGAUGGUUCCGCGUCUGAUUAGCUAGUUGGUGGGGUAAUGGCCUACCAAGGCAACGAUCAGUAGCCGGCCUGAGAGGGUGAACGGCCACAUUGGGACUGAGACACGGCCCAAACUCCUACGGGAGGCAGCAG